rnacentral:rRNA from 1 species
UCGAACGGGAUCGGCUGGAGCUUGCUCCGGCCGUGAGAGUGGCGAACGGGUGAGUAAUGCGUGACCGACCUGCCCCGUACACCGGAAUAGCUCCUGGAAACGGGUGGUAAUGCCGGAUGCUCCAGUCCAUCGCAUGGUGGUCUGGGAAAGAUUUUAUCGGUAUGGGAUGGGGUCGCGUCCUAUCAGGUAGUCGGCGGGGUAACGGCCCACCGAGCCUACGACGGGUAGCCGGCCUGAGAGGGCGACCGGCCACAUUGGGACUGAGAUACGGCCCAGACUCCUACGGGAGGCAGCAGUGGGGAAUAUUGCACAAUGGGCGCAAGCCUGAUGCAGCGACGCCGCGUGCGGGAUGACGGCCUUCGGGUUGUAAACCGCUUUUGUUGGGGAGCAAGCCUUCGGGUGAGUGUACCCUUCGAAUAAGCACCGGCUAACUACGUGCCAGCAGCCGCGGUAAUACGUAGGGUGCAAGCGUUAUCCGGAAUUAUUGGGCGUAAAGAGCUCGUAGGCGGUUCGUCGCGUCCGGUGUGAAAGUCCAUCGCUUAACGGUGGAUCUGCGCCGGGUACGGGCGGGCUGGAGUGCGGUAGGGGAGACUGGAAUUCCCGGUGUAACGGUGGAAUGUGUAGAUAUCGGGAAGAACACCAAUGGCGAAGGCAGGUCUCUGGG